rnacentral:rRNA from 1 species
GACAUGUCUAGAAAGGCUUUAAGAGAUUGAGCUGUGCUCGCAAGAGAACUGGAACACAGGUGCUGCAUGGCUGUCGUCAGCUCGUGUCGUGAGAUGUUGGGUUAAGUCCCGCAACGAGCGCAACCCUUGUCAUUAGUUGCUACGAAAGGGCACUCUAAUGAGACUGCCGGUGACAAACCGGAGGAAGGUGGGGAUGACGUCAAGUCCUCAUGGCCCUUAUGGGUAGGGCUUCACACGUCAUACAAUGGUCGGGACAGAGGGUCGCCAAACCGCGAGGUGGAGCCAAUCCCAGAAACCCGAUCGUAGUCCGGAUUGCAGGCUGCAACUCGCCUGCAUGAAGUCGGAAUCGCUAGUAAUCGCGGAUCAGCAUGUCGCGGUGAAUACGUUCCCGGGUCUUGUACACACCGCCCGUCACACCAUGGGAGCGGGUUUUACCAGAAGUAGGUAGCCUAACCGUAAGGGGGGCGCUUACCACGGUAGGAUUCGUGACUGGGGUGAAGUCGUAACAAGGUAAGCGUAGUGCU